rnacentral:rRNA from 1 species
AACGAACGCUGGCGGCGUGGAUAAGACAUGCAAGUCGAACGGGAGAAUUGCUAGCUUGCUAAUAAUUCUCUAGUGGCGCACGGGUGAGUAACACGUGAGUAACCUGCCUCUUAGUGGGGGAUAGCCCUGGGAAACCGGGAUUAAUACCGCAUACGAUUGAAAGAUCAAAGCAGCAAUGCGCUAGGAGAUGGGCUCGCGGCCUAUUAGUUAGUUGGUGAGGUAACGGCUCACCAAGGCGAUAACGGGUAGCCGGUCUGAGAGGAUGUCCGGCCACACUGGAACUGAGACACGGUCCAGACACCUACGGGUGGCAGCAGUCGAGAAUCAUUCACAAUGGGGGCAACCCUGAUGGUGCGACGCCGCGUGGGGGAAUGAAGGUCUUCGGAUUGUAAACCCCUGUCAUGUGGGAGCAAAUUAAAAAGAUAGUACCACAAGAGGAAGAGACGGCUAACUCUGUGCCAGCAGCCGCGGUAAUACAGAGGUCUCAAGCGUUGUUCGGAAUCACUGGGCGUAAAGCGUGCGUAGGCUGUUUCGUAAGUCGUGUGUGAAAGGCAGGGGCUCAACCCCUGGAUUGCACAUGAUACUGCGAGACUAGAGUAAUGGAGGGGGAACCGGAAUUCUCGGUGUAGCAGUGAAAUGCGUAGAUAUCGAGAGGAACACUCGUGGCGAAGGCGGGUUCCUGGACAUUAACUGACGCUGAGGCACGAAGGCCAGGGGAGCGAAAGGGAUUAGAUACCCCUGUAGUCCUGGCAGUAAACGGUGCACGCUUGGUGUGCGGGGAAUCGACCCCCUGCGUGCCGGAGCUAACGCGUUAAGCGUGCCGCCUGGGGAGUACGGUCGCAAGAUUAAAACUCAAAGAAAUUGACGGGGACCCGCACAAGCGGUGGAGUAUGUGGCUUAAUUCGAUGCAACGCGAAGAACCUUACCUGGGCUUGACAUGUAAUGAACAACAUGUGAAAGCAUGCGACUCUUCGGAGGCGUUACACAGGUGCUGCAUGGCCGUCGUCAGCUCGUGUCGUGAGAUGUUUGGUUAAGUCCAGCAACGAGCGCAACCCCUGUUGCCAGUUACCAUCGAGUAAUGUCGGGGACUCUGGCGAGACUGCCCAGAUCAACUGGGAGGAAGGUGGGGACGACGUCAGGUCAGUAUGGCCCUUAUGCCCAGGGCUGCACACGUACUACAAUGCCCAGUACAGAGGGGGCCGAAGCCGCGAGGCGGAGGAAAUCCUGAAAACUGGGCCCAGUUCGGACUGUAGGCUGCAACCCGCCUACACGAAGCCGGAAUCGCUAGUAAUGGCGCAUCAGCUACGGCGCCGUGAAUACGUUCCCGGGUCU